rnacentral:rRNA from 1 species
GACGAACGCUGGCGGCGUGCUUAACACAUGCAAGUCGAACGGAAAGGCCCCUUUGGGGGUACUCGAGUGGCGAACGGGGGAGUAACACGUGAGUAACCUGCCCUUGACUUCGGGAUAACUUCAGGAAACUGGGGCUAAUACCGGAUAGGAAUCCUUGCUGCAGGGUGGGGGUUGGAAAGCUUCGGCGGUUUUGGAUGGACUCGCGGCUUAUCAGCUUGUUGGUGGGGUAGUGGCUUACCAAGGCUUUGACGGGUAGCCGGCCUGAGAGGGCGACCGGCCACAUUGGGACUGAGAUACGGCCCAGACUCCUACGGGAGGCAGCAGUGGGGAAUAUUGCACAAUGGGCGGAAGCCUGAUGCAGCAACGCCGCGUGCGGGAUGACGGCCUUCGGGUUGUAAACCGCUUUCAGCAGGGGCGAAGCUUGUGGUGACGGUACCUGCAGAAGAAGCACCGGCUAACUACGUG